UACGGAGGGUGCGAGCGUUGUCCGGAAUUACUGGGCGUAAAGGGCGCGUAGGCGGCCUGAUAAGUAGGGGGUGAAAUCCUGCGGCUUAACCGCAGGGCUGCCUUCUAAACUGUCAGGCUCGAGCACAGUAGAGGCAGGUGGAAUUCCCGGUGUAGCGGUGGAAUGCGUAGAGAUCGGGAAGAACAUCAGUGGCGAAGGCGGCCUGCUGGGCAGUAGCUGACACUGAGGCGCGACAGCGUGGGGAGCAAACAGG
rnacentral:rRNA from 1 species